GACGAACGCUGGCGGCAGGCUUAACACAUGCAAGUCGAACGAACGUAGCAAUACGUGAGUGGCGCACGGGAGAGUAACACGUGGGAACCUACCUUUUGGUUCGGAAUAACGUCGGGAAACUGACGCUAAUACCGGAUACGCCCUAUGGGGGAAAGAUUUAUUGCCAAAAGAUGGGCCCGCGCUAGAUUAGCUUGUUGGUGAGGUAACGGCUCACCAAGGCGACGCUCUAUAGCUGGUCUGAGAGGAUGACCAGCCUCACUGGGACUGAGACACGGCCCAGACUCCUACGGGAGGCAGCAGUGGGGAAUUUUGGACAAUGGGCGCAAGCCUGAUCCAGCAAUGCCGCGUGCAGGAUGAAGGCCUUCGGGUUGUAAACUGCUUUUGUACGGAACGAAAAGCCCUGGGUUAAUACCCUGGGGUCAUGACGGUACCGUAAGAAUAAGCACCGGCUAACUACGUGCCAGCCGCCGCCGUAA
rnacentral:rRNA from 1 species